GACGCUGAGGCGCGAAAGUGUGGGGAGCAAACAGGAUUAGAUACCCUGGUAGUCCACACUGUAAACGAUGAAUGCUAGGUGUAGGGGGUAUCGACCCCUUCUGUGCCGCAGUAAACACAAUAAGCAUUCCGCCUGGGGAGUACGGCCGCAAGGUUGAAACUCAAAGGAAUUGACGGGGGCCCGCACAAGCAGCGGAGCAUGUGGUUUAAUUCGACGCAACGCGAAGAACCUUACCAGGUCUUGACAUCCAGUAAAAGCCAUAGAGAUAUGGUGUGUCUUCGGACAUACUGAGACAGGUGGUGCAUGGUUGUCGUCAGCUCGUGUCGUGAGAUGUUGGGUUAAGUCCCGCAACGAGCGCAACCCUUGCUGAUAGUUACUAACAGGUAAAGCUGAGGACUCUAUUAGGACUGCCGGGGACAACUCGGAGGAAGGUGGGGACGACGUCAAAUCAUCAUGCCCCUUAUGACCUGGGCUACACACGUGCUACAAUGGCCGUUACAAAGAGGUGCAAAGCCGUAAGGUGGAGCAGAUCUCAAAAAAGCGGUCUCAGUUCGGAUUGUGGGCUGCAACCCGCCCACAUGAAGUCGGAGUGCUAGUAAUC
rnacentral:rRNA from 1 species